AGGAGAAUCAAGAGCUUGCUGAAAGAGUGAUGAUAACACGGCUUCAUCUGUAUGGCAAAGGGAUUAAGAAAUGUGAUUAUGCUCAAAUAUACAACGAGAUUUCGGAAGAGAACUUGGAGCUGAUGCACGAGCGGUUAAUGGAAACUGUGGUUUGGCCCUCCGAUGAUACAAACCCUGAGAAGAGUGGCUGAGGGGAUGCAUUUGCAGUUGUUUUAGAUUCUUCUUUCCCUUUAAUUUAGCCUUGGGUAUCCAUCCUUUCUAUAGAAUCUCCAUGUUUGGUCCCAAACAAUGUUUUCACUUACAGGUUGAACUCUGUAUGCUAUGAAUUGUAUAUAAAUUAUGAAUAUUACCCAUGGUGUAACAUUGUUUUAUUGAAAGAAGUAAUGGAGGUUUUGGGACUGAUGAAUGCCAAACUUAUUCAUUCAAUCAACUUUGGCUACGGUA